rnacentral:rRNA from 1 species
GACGAACGCUGGCGGCAUGCCUAACACAUGCAAGUCGAACGAGACCUUCGGGUCUAGUGGCGCACGGGUGCGUAACGCGUGGGAAUCUGCCCUUGGGUUCGGAAUAACAGCGAGAAAUUGCUGCUAAUACCGGAUGAUGACGUAAGUCCAAAGAUUUAUCGCCCAAGGAUGAGCCCGCGUAGGAUUAGCUAGUUGGUGAGGUAAAGGCUCACCAAGGCGACGAUCCUUAGCUGGUCUGAGAGGAUGAUCAGCCACACUGGGACUGAGACACGGCCCAGACUCCUACGGGAGGCAGCAGUGGGGAAUAUUGGACAAUGGGCGAAGCCUGAUCCAGCAAUGCCGCGUGAGUGAUGAAGGCCUUAGGGUUGUAAAGCUCUUUUUACCCGGGAUGAUAAUGACAGUACCGGGA